rnacentral:lncRNA from 1 species
GAGAGAUUGUUGCUGUGAAUGUAUUGGACUUGCUGUUUGUGCCUGUGCAGGAUUAAGACCAUGGAGCCGUUGGCCCAGAUCAUGAGCCCCAAACAGAAACCAUCAUGGAAUAAUACUGAUGCUAAAUGCAGUAACUGUGCUAUGUAGUCAGGACCUCUAGAAUAACAAUAGUCAUAACUCUUUGCCUUUGUGACAUUUUGGUGGCUCCACUUGCCAGUUAUAUACAUAGGAAUGAUAAUACUAAACAUAAUGUUCAGGAUCCAACAGAGGAUGUUGGAGCUGCCCAGGUACUUGGAAGCUUUCACUUUUAGCCAUCCCCACCUGGAAUCCCUGGGACUGAUGACGAUCAUCUGGAAGAGGCUCAAGAGGCAGACGGUGCCAAUGGACACAUUCCUGCACACUCUGUGAACACAGAAAACAAAUUUG